AUUGAACGCUGGCGGCAGGCCUAACACAUGCAAGUCGAACGAGUGGCGGACGGGUGAGUAAUGUCUGGGAAUCUGCCUGAUGGAGGGGGAUAACUACUGGAAACGGUAGCUAAUACCGCAUACCAUCGGAUGUGCCCAGAUGGGAUUAGCUAGUAGGUGGGGUAAAGGCUCACCUAGGCGACGAUCCCUAGCUGGUCUGAGAGGAUGACCAGCCCAUCUGGAACUGAGACACGGUCCAGACUCCUACGGGAGGCAGCAGUGGGGAAUAUUGCACAAUGGGCGCAAGCCUGAUGCAGCCAUGCCGCGUGUAUGAAGAAGGCCUUAGGGUUGUAAAGUACUUUCAGCGUGGAGGCGUUACCCGCAGAAGAAGCACCGGCUAACUCCGUGCCAGCAGCCGCGGUAAUUC
rnacentral:rRNA from 1 species